AUGAAUUUAUCACAUCUGUAGUUGUAUAAUGAUCAUAACAAUCUGAUUUCACAGGAUUUCCAUCCCACAGCCCAAGCUCAUCCCCCAACCCCCAAACUGUCUCCUCUGGAGACCAUAAGUUUUUCAAUGUCUGUGAGUCAGCAUCUGUUCUGCAAAGAAGUUCCGUCUGUCCUUUUUUCAGAUUCCACAUGUCAGUGAAAGCAUUGGAUGUUGGUGUCUCAUUGUAUGGCUGACUUCACUUAGCAUGAUAAUUUCUAGGUCCAUCCACGUUGCUAAAAAUGCUGGUAUUUCAUUCUUUUUGAUGGCUGAGUAAUAUUCCAUUGUGUAUAUGUACCACAUCUUCUGGAUCCACUCCUCUGUCGAUGGACAUUUAGGUUGUUUCCAUGUCUUGGCUAUUGUAAAUAGUGCUGCAAUGAACAUUGGAGUACAUGUGUCUUUGCAAGUCAUGGUUUUCUCUGGAUAGAUGCCCAGGAGUGGAUUUGCUGGAUCAAAUGGUGGUUCUAUGUUUAGUUUUCUGAGGAAUCUCCAUAUUGCUUUCCACAGUGGUUGCACCAAUUUGCAAUCCCACCAACAGUGUACUAGUGUUCCUUUUUCUCCACACUCUCUCCAGCACUUCUUGUUUGUAGACUUUUGGAUGAUGGCCAUUCUGGCUGGUGUAAGGUGGUACCUCAUAGUGGUACCAUUUGAUUUGCAUUUCUCUAAUAAUGAGUGAUGCUGAAUUUCAUGUGUUUCUCAGCCAUCUGUAUGUCUUUUUUGGAGAACUGUCUGUUUAGAUCUUCCGCCCAUUUUUGGAUGGGGUUGUUUGUUUUUUUGGUAUGGAGCUGCAGAAGUUGUUUAUAAAUUUUGGAGAUUAAUCCCUUGUCAGUUGAUUCAUUUGCAAAGAUUUUCUCCCAUUCUCUGGGUUGUCUUUUUGUGUUUAGGGUUUCCUUUGCUGUGCAGAAACUCUGAAGUUUCAUUAGGUCCCAUUUGUUUAUUUUUGUUUUUAUUGUCAAUACUCUAAGAGGUGGAUCUGAGAAGAUGUUGCUGUUGUUUAUGUCAGAGAGUGGUUGGCCUAUGUUUUCCUCUAACAGUUUGAUAGUGUCUGGUCUUAUAUCUAGGUCUUUAAUCUAUUUUGAGUUUAUUUUUGUGUAUGGUGUUAGGGAGUGUUGUAUUUUCAUUCUUUUCCAUGUGGCUGUCCAGUUUUCCCAGCACCACUUAUUGAACAAGCUGUCCUUUCUCCAUUGUAUAGUCUUGCUUCUUUUGUCAUAGAUUAGUUGGCCGUAAGUGCAUGGGUUUAAUUCUGGGCUUUCUAUCCUGUUCCACUGAUCUAUAUGUCUGUCUUUGUGCCAGUACCAUGCAGUUUUGACGACUGUUGCUUCGUAGUAUAGUCUGAAGUCCGGGAGCCUGAUUCCUCCAGCUCCAUUUUUCUUUUUCAGGAUGUCUUUGGCUAUUCUGGGUCUUUUGUACUUCCAAAAAAACUUUAAAAUAUUUUGUUCAAGUUCUGUGAAAAAUGUCCUUGGUAAUUUGAUAGGGAUUGCAUUGAAUCUGUAGAUUGCCUUGGGUACUAUAGUCAUUUUGAUAAUAUUAACUCUUCCAAUCCACGAGCAUGGUAUAUCUUUCCAUCUAUUUGUGUCAUCUUUGAUUUCUUUCAUCAGUGGCUUGUAGUUUUCAGAGUACAGGUCUUUUGUUUCUUUAGGUAGGUUUACUCCUAGGUAUUUUAUUCUUUUGGAUGCGAUGGUAAACGGGAUUGCUUCCCUAAUUUCCUUUUCUGCUUUUUCAUUGUUAGUAUAUAGAAACGCUGUUGAUUUUUGUGUAUUGAUUUUGUAUCCUGCAACUUUGCCAAAUUCGUGGAUAAGCUCUAACAGUUUUCUGGUAGAGUCUUUAGGAGUCUCUAGGUAUAGUAUCAUGUCAUCUGCAAAUAACGAUAGUUUUACUUCUUCCUUUCCAAUUUGGAUUCCUUUUAUUUCUUUCACUUCUCUGAUUGCUGUGGCUAGGACUUCCAGAACUAUGUUGAAGAGUAGUGGCAAGAGCAGACAUUCUUGUCUUGUUCCUGAUCUCAGCGGGAAUUCUUUCAGCUUUUCACCAUUGAGAAUGAUGUUCGCUGUGGGUUUGUCAUAUAUGGCCUUAUCAGAAAUGGGUGUUGGAUUUUGUCAAAGGCUUUUUCUGCGUCUGUUGAGAGGAUCAUAUGGUUUUUAUUCUUCAGUUUGUUAAUGUGGUGUAUCGCACUGAUGGAUUUGCGGAUAUUGAAGAACCCUUGCAUCCCUGGGAUAAAUCCCACUUGAUCAUGAUGUACAAUCUUUUUAAUGUAUUGUUGGAUGUGGUUUGCUAGUAUUUUGUUGAGGAUUUUUGCAUCAAUGUUCAUCAGUGAAACUGGCCUGUAGUUUUCUUUUUUUGUGGAGUCUUUGUCUGGUUUUGGUACCAGGGGGAUGGUGGCCUCAUAGAAUGAGUUCGGGAGUAUCCCUUCUUCUACAAUUUUUUGAAAUAGUUUCAGAAGGAGAGGUGUUAGCUCUUCUCUAACUGUUUGAUAGAAUUCGCCUGUGAAGCCAUCUGGUCCUGGACUUUUGUUUGUUGGAAGUUUUUUCAUCACAGUUUCAGUUCUUGUGAUGGGUCCAUUCAUCUUUUCUAUUUCAUCUUUCUUUAGUCUUGGAAGAUUGUACUUUUCUAAGAAUUUGUCCAUUUCUUCUAGGUUUUCCAUUUUAUUGGCAUAUAGUUGCAUAUAGUAGUCUCUUAUGAUCCUUUGUAUUUCUGUGGUGUCCAUUGUUACUUCUCCUUUUUCAUUUCUAAUUUUAUUGAUUUGAGUCCUGUCUCUUUUUUGCUUGAUAAGUCUGGCUAGGGGUUUAUCAAUUUUGUUGAUCUUUUCAAAGAACCAGCUUUUCGUUUCAUUGAUCUUUUCUGUGGUUUUUCUUGUUUCUAUUUCAUUGAUUUCUGCUCUGAUCUUUAUGAUUUAUGUCCUUCUACUAACUUUAUGUCUUGUCUGUUCCUCUCUCUAAAGCUGCUUUAGAUGUAAAGUUAGCUUGUUUAUUUGGACUUUUUCUUGUUUCCUGAGGUGGGCUUGUAUUGCUAUAAACUUUCCUCUUAGAACGGCUUUUGCUGCAUCCCAUAGGUUUUGCAGUGUUGUAUCUUCAUUGUCAUUUGCUGCUAGGUAUUUUUUAAUUUCCUCUUUGAUUUCUUCAGUGAUCCAUUGAUUGUUUAGUAGCAUGUUGUUGAGUCUCCACGUGUUUGUGUUUUUUGCAGUUUUUUUCUUGUUGUUGAUUUCCAGUCGUAUAGCGUUGUGGUUGGAAAAAGAUGCUUGAUAUGAUUUCAAUUUUCUUAAAGUUACUGAGGUUGGAUUUGUAGCCCAGGAUAUGGUCAAUCUUAGAGAAUGUUCCAUGUACAUUUGAGAAGAAUGUGUAUUCUGUUGCUUUUGGAUGGAAUGUCCUAUAAAUAUCUAUUAAGUCCAUCUGGUUUAAUGCUUCAUUCAGGGCCUGUGUUUCCUUAUUGAUUUUCUGUCUGGUUGAUCUGUCCAUUGAUGUAAGUGGGGUGUUCAAGUCCCCCACUGUGAUUGUGUUAUUGUCGAUUUCUCCUUUUAAGGUUGUUAGCAGUUGCCUUAUAUAUGGUGGUGAACCUGUGUUGGGUGCGUAGAUAUUUAAAAUUGUUAUAUCAUCUUCUUGGAUUGAUCCUUUGACCAUUAUGUAAUGUCCUUCUUUGUCCCUGAAAAUAUUCCUCAUUUUAAAGUCUAUUUUGUCUGAUAUGAGUAUUGCUACUCCAGCUUUCUUUUGAUCCCCAUUUGCAUGAAAUAUUUUCUUCCAUCCUUUCACUUUCAAUUUGUAUGUCAUAUAUAAGGAUCUUGUUUUUGUAUCCAUUCAGCCAGCCUGUGUCUUUUGGUUGGGGUGUUUAGUCCAUUCACAUUUAAGGUAAUUAUUGAUAUGUAUGUUCUUAUUGCCAUUUUAUUAAUUACUUUGGAUUUGUUUUUGCUGCUGUUUUCCCUUUCCUUCUUCUCUUGUUCUUUUCUGCCUAUAGAAGUUCCUUUAGUAUUUGUUGUAAGGCUGGUUUAGUGUUGCUGAAUUCUCUCAGCUUUUGCUUAUUUGAGAUUUUGAUUUCUCCUUCAAAUCUGAACGAGAGCCUUGCUGGGUAGAGUAAUCUUGGUUGGAGGUUUUUUCCUUUCAUCACGUUGAGUAUAUCAUGCCACUCCCUUCUGGCCUGCAGAGUUUCUGUUGAAAAAUCUGCCAAUAGCCUUAUCGGGGUUCCCUUGUAUGUUAUUUGUUUCUUUUCCCUAGCUGCUUUCAAGAUUUUCUCUUUGUCUUUAAUUUUGGUCAGUUUGAUUAGUAUGUGUCUCGGGGUGUUCCUCCUUGGGUUUAUUUUGUAUGGCACUUGUGCUUCCUGGAUUUGAGUGAGUGAUUCCUUCCCCAUGUUAGGGAAGUUUUCAGCUAUUAGCUCUUGGAAUAUUUUUUCUGUCUCCUUCUCUCUCUCUUCUCCUUCUGGCACCCCUAUAAUAUGGAUGUUGGUGCGUUUCACAUUGUCCCAGAGUUCUCUGAGACUCUCUUCAUUUGUUUUCAAUCUUUUUUCUCUUUUCUGUUCUGCAUCCGUAAUUUCCACUAAUCUGUCCUCCACCUCGCUUAUUCGUUCUUCUGCCUCCUGUAUUCUGCUGUUAGCUGCUUCUAGUGAAUUUUUUAUUUCCAUUAUUGUAUUUUGCAUCUCUUCUUGUUUAAGUUUUAUAUCUUGUAUCUCUUUGGUCAGUGUUUCCUGUAAGUUAUCCAUCUUUGCCUCCAGUUUAUUUUCAAUGUCUUGUAUCUUCUUCAGCAUCAACAGUCUAAAGUCUUUUUCCUGGAGGCUGAGAAUCUCCUCAUGGCUUAGCUGUUUUUCUGGGGUUUUUUCUUUCUCCCUCAUCUGAGUUAUAGUUCUCUGUUUUUUCAUUUUUAUAGGUUUUUGGUGCGGUGACCUUCUUACAGAUAAUAGAGUUGUAGCCUCUCUUACUUCUGAUGUCUGCCCCCCUGUGGCUGAAGUCAGUAUGGGGGCUUGGUGUAGGCUUCCUGAUGGGAGGGGCUGAUGCCUGCCCCCUGGUAGGAGGAGCCGAUUCUAAUCCCUCUGGUGGGUGGGGCUUAGUCUCUGGAUGGGAUUAGAGGCAGCUGUGUGCCAGGGGUCUUUAGGCAGCCUGUUUACUGAGAGGCAGGCUGUGAUCCCACCUGGGUUGUUAUUUGCCCUGGGGCUUCUCAGUAGCUGGCUGAUGGGUGGGGCCAGAUUUUCCCAAAAUGGCCACCUCCAGAGAAAGGCAGCUGCUGAAUAUUCCUGAGAGCUUUGCCUUCAAUGUCCUUCCCUCACAACAAGCCACAUUCACCCGUUUUCCCAGGAUGUCCUUUAAGAACUGCAGUCAGGUUUGACCCAGAUUCCCUUGGAGACUUUGCUUUGCCCUGGGACUCAGUGCACGUGAAAGUCUGUGUGCGCCUUUUAAGAAUAGGGUCUCCAUUUCCCCCAGUCCCGUGGAGCUCUUGCGCACAAGCCCCACUGGCCUUCAAUGCCAGAUGCUCUGGGGCUCUUUCUUCCUGUGCCAGAUACCCACACGUGAGAGUUUGAUGUGUGGCUCAGAACUCUCACUCCUAUAGGUGAGUCUCUGUGAAUCAGUUAGUUUCCAGUCUGUGGAGCUUCCCACCCUGGAGGUAUGGGGUUGUUUAUGUCACGAAAUUGUCCCUCCUACCUCUUGAUGUGGCCUCCUCUUUGUCUUCUGGAGUAGGGUAUCUUUUUUAAGGUUUCCG
rnacentral:lncRNA from 1 species